rnacentral:rRNA from 1 species
UACGUAGGGUGCGAGCGUUGCCCGGAUUUAUUAGGGGCGUUGAAAGGGCGCGUAGGCGGUCGACGCACGUCCGUUGUGAAAUCGCUCGGCUCAACUGGGCGGGGUCAGCGGAGUACGGCGUGGCUGGAGCAAGCUAGGGGCAUGGAAUCCCGGUGUAGUGGUGGAAUGCGUAGAUAUCGGGAGGAACACCGGUGGCGAAGGCGGCAUCCUGGACCGGCAUUGACGCUGAGGCGCGAAAGCCAGGGGAGCAAAGCGGG